rnacentral:rRNA from 1 species
AGUGAACGCUGGCGGUAGGCCUAACACAUGCAAGUCGAACGGCAGCACAGUAAGAGCUUGCUCUUACGGGUGGCGAGUGGCGGACGGGUGAGGAAUACAUCGGAAUCUACUUUUUCGUGGGGGAUAACGUAGGGAAACUUACGCUAAUACCGCAUACGACCUACGGGUGAAAGCAGGGGAUCUUCGGACCUUGCGCGAUUGAAUGAGCCGAUGUCGGAUUAGCUAGUUGGCGGGGUAAAGGCCCACCAAGGCGACGAUCCGUAGCUGGUCUGAGAGGAUGAUCAGCCACACUGGAACUGAGACACGGUCCAGACUCCUACGGGAGGCAGAAGUGGGGAAUAUUGGACAAUGGGCGCAAGCCUGAUCCAGCCAUACCGCGUGGGUGAAGAAGGCCUUCGGGUUGGAAAGCCCUUUUGUUGGGAAAGAAAAGCAGCAGGUUAAUACCCCGCUGUUCUGACGGUACCCAAAGAAUAAGCACCGGCUAACUUCGUG